CGCGGGGCCGCUCGGAUAUCAGCGGGAGGAGCAUCCUGAAUGGAGCCGGAGCCGGGGACGGGGACGGGGACAGCAGCAGCAGCAGCAGCAGCAUUCCGGCCGCCAGAGCGACAGGAACAAGAGCGGUGGAUGCAGAGAGCGCUGGGCACGGCGAAAGAAGCUUUGGAGAACGGUGAGGUGCCUGUUGGAUGCCUGAUGGUUUACCAGAAUGAGAUUUUGGGACAGGGGAGGAACGAAGUGAAUGAAACUAAGAAUGCUACCCGUCAUGCAGAGAUGGUCGCCAUUGACCAAGUCCUGGAGUGGUGUGGCCAAAAGGGCAGAGAUCGAGCGGAAGUGUUUGAACACACGGUGCUGUAUGUCACCGUGGAACCGUGCAUUAUGUGUGCUGCCGCCCUGCGGCUGCUGAAAAAACUUCUCUUUCUGCUUAACCUUGUCACAGACAUCCCACUGGUUGUAUUCGGCUGUCAGAAUGAGCGAUUUGGAGGCUGCGGUUCAGUGCUGAACAUUCCCACAGAUGACUUACAGCACUCUGGAGCACCCUUCCAGUGCAUAGGGGGCUACAGAGCUGAGGAAGCUGUUGAACUGUUAAAGACCUUCUACAAAGCUGAAAACCCCAAUGCGCCAAAAUCAAAAGUACGGAAGAAGCAAUGAAUGUCUCCUUGAUGCUGAUGUCACCAAAAAGAAGUGUUGGAACCUACUUGACAGUGGAAAGAAAUAACCAGUUAGAUGUUGGUCGGGGUGAAAGAUGGUGGCAUUAAAAAUAAAUGCCAGGAUUCUUGAGCAAUAGCUCUAUGUUUCAGCCUGCCUCUCCAUGUGGCGCCACCAGUCUCUCCUGGUCUGUCUUUCCACAGCACAUCCUUGAAACGCUUGUGUCCCCCCCAAACAUGUCUGCUCUGACUAAACUGGAAGAAGACGACCUGCUUUGGGUGCCUGGUAUCCGACAUCCGAAUUACGUGACCAACCCACCGAUGCCGAUGGUGGAUGAUCGUAGCCUCGCUGCUUGUGAUGCCUGCUUGUGAGACGACCCUGACGUGGGUGUGUCUGUUCUCCCAUGUAUGAAUGCCUGGAAAAUGUGGAACACUUUCAGUACCUUGGAAGUUAUUUUUCGCAUAAGGUUGACAAAUCCAGCAUUGUCUAAGAUAUCUUGCAUAUGCAUCAAUGUAUCUGAACUGGGCUAGUUCCUAUAAGAGGAACUUUACAAAAGAUAGCUGAAAUGUGCUUGGAGAACUGUGUGCAGUUGUGGUCACCAUAUUAUGAAAAGGGUAUCGGCCACUGGAGAAGGUGCAAAAAAAAUUCACUAGGAUAAUACCAGAAAUGAGAGGUCCUACCUAUCAGGACAGGCUGAAGAGGCUGGAACUCUUCUCUAGCAAAGGGAAGGCGGAGAGAUAAUCUAAUAGAGGUCUUUGAUUGUGAAAGGGCUUGUUAGGGUCGACAAUGUUUCCACUUGUGGGGUAAACAAGUGCCAGGGACCAUAGUUAUAAGACCAUACUAAUAACUUCAAUGGGGAAUUCAGGAGGAACUUCUUUACCUAGAGAGUGGUGAGAAUGUGGAAUUUGCUACAGGGAAUAGUUGAGGAGAAUAGCAUAGAUGCAUUCUAAGCACCUAGAUAAGCACAUGAGGCGGAAAGGAAUAGAAGAAUAUGCUGAUAGACUGAGAUGAAGAGGAGUGGGAGGAGACCCUUUUGGAGCAUAACCCAACUGGUGCGUGCCAACGUUUGAAUGGCCUGCAUCAGUGUUGUAACAUUAUGUACAGCAGCAGACCUGGGAGAGAUGUUAACAGUAGCGUAAAGAAAGUAGGCUCCAUGUUUAAUGCCUCAACAAUAUGGUCUCUUAUCUCAAUGAAGAUAAAAAGGAACAAAAGGUUAAAAGAAGCAAGUAUUUAUUUGAUGAGAACAUUGCUUGUUAUGUGCUGUGAAGAUGACUCACUGACAUUUUUGACUCAGUGUAAAAAUAGGAAUUCAAGGUUAUUUCAACAAAGGUACUUUAAUCUGUGAUUUGGAUACAAUACCUGUCUAGACUCAAACCAUCAGAUUAUACUGUUGCCGUGUUAAUUCUCCUCAUAAAUACCACUCACAGUGAAAAGUAACAAUUUUAACAGUGGGACACAAGUAAGAUAUUGCACAUCUACAAUCAGAGUGCAGCUUGAUAAAUGUGCUAAGGAAACAUUUUGGAGGGCUAUGGGGACAGGGCACUGGAAUGAGAUCUCUAUUUCACAGAGUCAGCGCAGGCACAGUGGGCCGGCGUAUGGUUGCUUUUUGUGUUGUAGAAUUCUAGGUUGAAUUUAUUUUAGGAUUCACUUAAGGCUUAUUUUGAAUGACAAUGGCACACAAUGGCAGCUGUGUGUACCAUCCACAAGAUACCUGCAGCAACUCACCAAGGCCCCUUUCACAGCACUUUCCAAACCCACGACCUCUAUCA